rnacentral:tRNA from 1 species
GUAGAUAUNGUUUAAAAAAANCAUUAGAUUGUGAUUCUAAAAAAAGGGGUUAAAACCCUCUUGUCCACC